CCGAGUGAGGGCCUUCCGGGCCUCGACCUCCAACCCUUUGUGAACACACCCUGUUGCUUCGGGGGCGACCCUGCCGUUUCGACGGCGAGCGCCCCCGGAGGUCCAUUCCAACACUGCAUCUUUGCGUCGGAGUUUAAGUAAAUUAAACA
rnacentral:misc_RNA from 1 species